GACGAACCGUGCAAACGUUAUUCGGAAUCACUGGGCUUAAAGGGCGCGUAGGCGGGCAGGCAAGUCAGGGGUGAAAGCCCACGGCUCAACCGUGGAAGCGCCUUUGAUACGGCCGGUCUCGAGGGAGGUAGGGGCGUGCGGAACUUCCGGUGGAGCGGCGAAAUGCGUAGAUAUCGGAAGGAACACCGGUGGCGAAAGCGGCGCGCUGGACCUCUUCUGACGCUGAGGCGCGAAAGCCAGGGGAGCAAACGGG
rnacentral:rRNA from 1 species